rnacentral:rRNA from 1 species
GAUGAACGCUGGCGGCGUGCCUAAUACAUGCCAGUCGAACGGACGGACGAGAAGCUUGCUGCUCUGAUGUUAGCGGCAGGCGGGUGAGUAACGCGUGUAUCACCUCCCUGUCAUUCUGGGAUCACUUCGAGACACCGGAGCUAAUACCAGAUAAUAUUUUGCACCGCGUGGUUCGUAGGUGAGAUACGGUGUUGCUGUCACUUCUAGCUGGAUCCGCGCUGCAUUAGCUAGUUGGUAAGGUAACGGCUUACCAAGGCAACGAUGCAUAGCCGACCUGAGAGGGUGAUCGGCCACACUGGAACUGAGACACGGUCCAGACUCCUACGGGAGGCAGCAGUAGGGAAUCUUCCGCAAUGGGCGAAAGCCUGACGGAGCAACGCCGCGUGAGUGAUGAAGGUCUUCGGAUCGUAAAACUCUGUUAUUAGGGAAGAACAUAUGUGUAAGUAACUGUGCACAUCUUGACGGUACCUAAUCAGAAAGCCACGGCUAACUACGUG